rnacentral:rRNA from 1 species
AUGCACGCUGGCGGCGUGCCUCAUACAUGCCAGUCGCGCGAACAGACGAGGAGCUUGCUCCUCUGACGUUAGCGGCGGACGGGUGAGUAACACGUGGAUAACCUACCUAUAAGACUGGGAUAACUUCGGGAAACCGGAGCUAAUACCGGAUAAUAUAUUGAACCGCAUGGUUCAAUAGUGAAAGACGGUUUUGCUGUCACUUAUAGAUGGAUCCGCGCCGCAUAAGCUAGUUGGUAAGGUAACGGCUUACCAAGGCAACGAUGCGUAGCCGACCUGAGAGGGUGAUCGGCCACACUGGAACUGAGACACGGUCCAGACUCCUACGGGAGGCAGCAGUAGGGAAUCUUCCGCAAUGGGCGAAAGCCUGACGGAGCAACGCCGCGUGAGUGAUGAAGGUCUUCGGAUCGUAAAACUCUGUUAUUAGGGAAGAACAAAUGUGUAAGUAACUAUGCACGUCUUGACGGUACCUAAUCAGAAAGCCACGGCUAACUACGUG